rnacentral:rRNA from 1 species
GACGACGCUGGCGGCGUGCUUACACAUGCAAGUCGAACGAAGAGCGAUGGAAGCUUGCUUCUAUCAAUCUAGUGGCGAACGGGUGAGUAACGGGUAAUCAACCUGCCCUUCAGAGGGGGACACAGUUGGAAACGACUGCUAAUACCGCAUACGAUCUAACCUCGGCAUCGAGGAAAGAUGAAAGGUGGCCUCUAUUUAUAAGCUAUCACUGAAGGAGGGGAUUGCGUCUGAUUAGCUAGUUGGAGGGGUAACGGCCCACCAAGGCGAUGAUCAGUAGCCGGUCUGAGAGGAUGAACGGCCACAUUGGGACAGAGACACGGCCCAGACUCCUACGGGAGGCAGCAGUGGGGAAUCUUCCGCAAUGGACGAAAGUCUGACGGAGCAACGCCGCGUGAGUGAUGACGGCCUUCGGGUUGUAAAGCUCUGUUAAUCGGGACGAAAGGCCUUCUUGCGAAUAGUUAGAAGGAUUGACGGUACCGGAAUAGAAAGCCACGG